GAUGAACGCUAGCGGCAGGCCUAAUACAUGCAAGUCGGACGGGAUUCAGGAGCUUGCUUCUGAUGAGAGUGGCGCACGGGUGCGUAACACGUAUGUAACCUACCUUUAUCAGGGGGAUAGCCUCUCGAAAGAGAGAUUAAGCCCGCAUAAAAUCACAGCACAGCAUUGUGUAAUGAUCAAAUAUUUAUAGGAUAAAGAUGGGCAUGCGGAACAUUAGCUAGAUGGCGGGGUAACGGCCCACCAUGGCGACGAUGUUUAGGGGAUCUGAGAGGAUGGCCCCCCACACUGGUACUGAGACACGGACCAGACUCCUACGGGAGGCAGCAGUAAGGAAUAUUGGUCAAUGGGCGGAAGCCUGAACCAGCCAUGCCGCGUGCAGGAAGACGGCCCUACGGGUUGUAAACUGCUUUUAUACGGGAAUAAACCCAGAUACGUGUAUCUGGCUGAAUGUACUGUAAGAAUAAGAAUCGGCUAACCCCGUG
rnacentral:rRNA from 1 species